GAUAGGGACUUAGGAAAAAAGGAUUGCAUUCUGAACUUGUGGUGCUUCCGAGUUCGAUUCUACGAACUAAGUCGUCGUUUUGUUUGGGCCAUUUAAAUUCUUAGGCUUCCGCUCAGAUGCUUAAUUUGUGGUGCAUUUUUGCAUGGCUAUGAUAAAGUGGUAUUCAAGAUUCAGGAAUAUGCUAAAACAGUUUUUCCAGAUUGAGUUUUUUUUUUUUUUUUUUGAAUUGAAUGUUAAAUUGAAUUCAAAGAAAAAAUAACCUUGUUACAUCAAGUAUUACCUUG
rnacentral:lncRNA from 1 species